GUAGAGGUGCACCACUUAUGAAAUGUUGCUGUCCUUGGUGCUAACACACCAGGCAAAAACAUUUAUUUAUUAUUCAUUUGGUACAUUUAUACCCAACAUUUCUCCCUCGAGGGGACUCAGUAUGACAUAUGAUGCUCCCAUCUGCCUCUCCCACCCAAGCUAGGCUACAUCAGACCUGGUUAGCUUUAGCAAGGUGGUAGCAUCAGGACCUAAAUAUCCAGGUUUAAAUGGAAAUUAUUUAGCAAUUUGUAGCCCAUUUUAUAGUUCAUCUGCUACUUUUAUCCUUGUUUUUGUGUUUUAUUGUAUUGGUUUCAUGUGGAACACUGCUCCACAAUCUAAUAUUCAAGCCAAAUAAAUGCUGAAGCAUCAGUGGAAUGUCUUCUUGCAUUUUUGAUUGGAGACACAUGGUUAUUUAUUUCAUACCACUAGAUUCAUAAUAAAAAACCCUCAAGUGGAUUUAUAAAAGCAAUAAAGCAAUAAAAUUAUUAGUAAAAGGAGUUAAAACAGUAGAAAAAAGCUAUAAACUGAAGACGCACCAAUAUUCUAGAUAUCUGGAUUUGCUUGUCUAAACAAAAAUGUUUUUAGCAGGCACAGAAAAGAGCACAGUGAAAGGGUCUUCCUGAUAUCAAUAGGCAGGAAGUUCCAAAGUGUAGCGAUGCCACACUAAAUAUCAGUAUCAAACAUCUGGACGUGUAAAAGGUUAAAAGAGUAUUGGGAAAUGAUCCAUAACGAAUUGAAAAAAAUGUUUAAAAGUACUUUCCCAAAAAACCCAGAGUCCUUUCUCUUGGGGAUAAUUCAGACUGAAAUUCCCAGUUGUUUAAAAAGUUUAUUUAUGUAUGUUACUACUGUGGCCCGUGUUUUGUUAGCCCCAAAAUGGAAAAUGAGCGAGGUCCCAACCAAAGAAGAAUGUCAGCUUAAGUUUGAUGGAAUAUGCACCACUUGCAGACUUAACAUAUUGAAUAAGAGAACAAGAAGAACAUAUGUUUAAAGAAGAUUGGAAAACGUUUAUUGAAUACAUGGGAGAUAAUUGUGUACAGCUGAAAACACUGGCAGCAUUAAGAUAAAUUCAACUGUGUAAAUAAGUUUUGAUGGCUGCAAUAAUGGAAUACUGAUUGGUAUACUUUUUGUAAAAUAUGCAGGGAUUUAUGAUAUGUAAAAUGAACCAUGGAAAGAGAAGAAGGGAAGUCUUUGAUAUCUUAAAGAUGUAAAAUGAGUAUUUUAAAUUGUAAAACAGAAAAUUUAAUUAAAAUUAUAUAUAUAAAAAUAUCAGUAUUAAACAUUGGUUUCCAUCUAUCCUUUUCUUGUCAUACUGAGAUUCUGUCAUUAAUUACAUCAUCAUCUGUAUGUCCUUCCACAGGUCAGGAAGAUUAUUUCAACUUCUGUGGAGGAAUUGUUUGAUGAAGGCUGUUGGCAGAAAUGUAUUUUAAUGCUGGUUUUCACAAAAGUGCAUGAAAUGAGGUGAUUUAUUUCCCCUUUGAUAGGCAUGAAGUACUCAGAAUGCAAAAAGAGAAGAGCCCAACAUUUUCUCCCAACUAACUUUAACCCCUCUGAAAUAUAUCUCCAUCAGUGCUAUUCUUCUAGAAAAAGAGGUGUUGGAACUCACCAUGAACAUCUCCCUUGUUCUCUUAUGAUAGCAAUGGUGCCCACCUGAGAGGUGCCAGGACUCAGUUCCAGUGAGUUCCCACGGAAAAAAGCCCUGAUCUCCAUUGGCAUGAAGAUUAAAAGUGGUAUUCAAUGUUAGUUCUAUGCAGAGUGGACCUGCUGAAGUUAAUACACAUGUCUAACUUAGGGCCAUCCAAGCAGGUGAGGGCUGUGUGAUAACAAUGUUACACUUCUAUGUAUAUAGGACGAUACACACAAUUCCUGGUUCACUUCUUUCACUCCCCCAUCUUUGGUCUGCUAGGUCAAUUUGGGUGGAGCCUUUGUUUCCUUCACACCUGUUUCCUGCUAUACUAUCUCUGUUGCAGAGGGUCAUAAUCAUAGGGAAGCUGGAAAAGUACUGCAGACAGAUAGAAUAAGUGAAUAGCUGGUAGACUGCCUGACUGGAAUCCUGAGACAGUGAAUAUUGGUUGCCUGUUCUAUCUCUUUGAUACAGAAUAAUAUGAUUACAAGUUAAUCCAUCCCCAAAUACAGUUCUAUUAUUUGCCAUGGCAGUUCCCCCCUCCCUGUUUGGUUGCAAUGGUAAUUUAAGCUGUCUCCAUUCCCAAGCUUCUUUUGCUUAGUCAGUCAACACUGUUGCAUACUGCAAAGCAACCUGACACAUAUCAGUGACACAUAACUGCUUAUGUUAUGCACACAUGCCGUGCCAUUCGGUAUCACUGAACACCGUGUCAGGCUGCAGUUUGACAACCCCAAAGUUGCAAGUGAGUUUGUGUGUGCGUGUUUUGAAAUUAGUGCUAUACAAAACAGAGAGUUUUAAUUUUGCCAGAGUGUGCUGGGAGAAAAUCCAAAUCUUUGUUCCAAUAUCAGAUGGCACCGAACAGUGCACUGCCAGAACAUAAUUAAAAAAGAAGAGAUUGAUGGCAAUUAGGUGUGAGGAAGAAGCCCCCUCCUGGGUUUAUAAGGGGUAGAUCAGCUGCAGAGAAAGAGGAUUAGUUCGUUCUCUCUCUCUCUCUCUCUCUCUCUCUCUCUCUCUCUUUGUGUGUGUUUACAAAAUUUCCUUCAAGUAAGAGGGAACAGAUUUUUUAAAACUCCUUGCAAACGGCGAUAGCUGAUAUCCCUGGAAUGAUGGCUACAUCAUUAAUAAGCAGUGCCAUCGCUUCAUCAUGACCGCAGUUUACUCAGUGUAUAGUGGGUUAUCCAUCACUUGAAGACAGACAUUGUAGCAUUAUGAAAGAUCUGCAGCUAUUCGUUGAGAGAUCAGUGAAGCAGGAAACAAUUGACAUUCCGAAUUUCAUAAAUUAAGCAACCCAAAGAUGAUAAUGGAUUUUCUGUGUGAAGCCAAUAGAGGGAAAUCUUGAAUGGCAAAUGACAAGUUGGACUCACAGUGCCAUCCUAAGCAUGUCUACUCAGAAGUAAGUUUUAUUGACUUUGGUGUGGCUUACACCUAUGAAAGUUGGGUUACGAUUGGAGCCUCAGAGUUGUGGUAAGGUAAAGGAAAAAAGUUGUGGUACUACAAUGUGUGCUAUAUGAUGAGGCAGGAUUUUAGAAUUUUGUGGCAACACAUAUAGGGCAAAUACUGCACCUCUUUUAAGAAGCUGAACCCAGCCAGUUUCCCAUACCUCAUUGCUGUCAGGGUCUGACUCCUCCUCCUUUACAUUCCUGCUAUUUGAUCACUAUGGCUGGCUAUGGCCUACUCACCUCUUCUAAUAAGCAACCCCCACAUCAUCUGGUGCUGGAUUCUGCUUAUUAGAGGGUGACACAGGAAGGCCCAAUUCCAUCCCCACCCCAGGAAGGGGAAGCCAAGAAGCUGCAGCUGUGAGGGUGGAGACAGGACAUUCACCUCCAGGUUGGCUUCUUUUUUUGGUGGUAGUGGCAGCAGUGGAGAUCAAGGGGAGAGUCUUUUGCCUCUUCAUCAUUGUUGGGAUUUCAGCUCCACAUUCACUGAGAAUUUGGGGGCAAAGAGACCAACACGGGAUAAUCAACAGGUGGAAGAGAAGAGUGCUUGAUCCAUUUACUACCUGCUGUCCCGCCCUCCCCUUGGCAAGCUCCACCACCAGACGCUGCCUCUUCCUCAAACCAGUCUUUUGAUUUGGGAUCCAACCUGGUAAGAGAGAUCAGGUGUAGGCGUUUGCCAGAGGUGGAUUUGUGACUGGUUCACACUGGGUGCUGAGCUGAGAGGCUGCCACAGAGGGCACUGCAACAACACCGAACAACGGAAGGCAAGAGGCGGGGAGGACACUGAAUGUUGGCAUCACACAGUGUGCCACUUAAAAUUUUAAAGCCCAAAGUCCGUCACUGCAAUUCCAGUGGGAAUUGCUGGGGGAAUGACUAAGCCCAUAAAAUCUGUGCUUUAAAUGUCCCCCGCCUCGUCAUUAAGGCUUUUCAGGAAGUUUUAUUGGUUUGGAAAACUCCUUUUGUGUUGCUCGUAACAUCUGCUUCAGUCCCUGUCCAUGAAACUCAAUGUGGGGCAUUGACUCAACUUAUCUCAGCUUGUGAUGAGAAUAAAAUAUGUAUGCCCAUGAAACACCCAUGUGAGAAAUAACAAUGAAGGAUCCUUAUACAUUCCAAAUAAUACGCCCCCCCCUGCAAAUAUGGUUGCUUAUUAUGACUUCGUAGACUAACCAUAGCUUAGUGGCAAAGCUCAUGGCAUCUUCAUUUUAAAGGAUGAUCAGGUAGCAGGUGAUGGAAAGGAUUUUACCCUGGGACUCUGGAGAUCUAUUGCCACUCAGAGAAUGCCAUGCUCCAUGGUCAAAUAAUCUAACUUGGCACAAGGCUGCUUCAUACGUGUUUUUGAUGCUUGAACAUAGUUUCCACCUCUAUGUGCUCACCCACUGUGACUUAUGUAGCACCACACAACUUGACAAUAGCUCAAGUUUCUUUGCAAACAAUCUACAGCCUAUUGCCCUGAAGGCUCUGGUAUGGCAAGCGUGUGUUUCUUGACUUAGCACUAGGGGAUGUCAGCUUGGACAAGAGCCAGCAGGAGAUCUGCAGUGUUGCUCGCCCCCUGCUCCGCAACAUUUUGGCAGAUGGAAGUAGAUGGGGAAGAGGCUCUCAGAAAUGAAACCACAGCUGCACAUCCUGAUGGUGACUGCCCUCGGGGAUUUCUCAUUUAUUCUGUGCUGGCUGAGUUUGCAAAAACAAAACACAAACCCUGCAUCUGUGCUGUGGCAAAAGGGAGCGAAAUAACUGGAUUUGCAGCCUGAAGAAGACCCAUACAUCCAAGCAGCUCUGUGCAAAGCCAGCACCUGCUGUGAGACGUUGAUGUAUUGAGACUCUGAGCCUGAUGUCAUGAGGGCUCAUGUGAAACACAUCUAAAUCUUUUCCUACCUCUCAGGACCAUCUGGAAAACCUCUUGAUGCAUUAUCGGGUCUCAUUCACAACUUACUGUGUUAUGCAUGGCUGCCAAAUGUUUGAGAACAGUGGUAGGAAGGGAUUUGGACAUCUCUUAAAUACAACAUUCAAGCUUUGCAUGAUGGUUCCUGAGAUCAAGGAGCAGGUUUUCAUCUAUGUUCAGAUAUGACUGGAUGCCAUUUUGAAUCUACCAUCUUAAUUCGAUCUACUGACUUAACCUUUCAAAGCUGCAUUGAUUUUAACCACCAGUGUAAGAACUAUACUGUUUUUUUUGUUUUGUUUCUUAGUGUUCCUGAGGAAUGCAAGGUACAAGACUGCUUCAUACUUUUGUGUGCCUAUAUAAUAUCUGGUGGUAUCCAGUGCAGUUGUCUCAUUCAUGCAAGGGUUUCUGCUUGUGCAACAGGAAUUCCCUUCCCCCUCCUCUCCUUGUGCACCCCCUUGAAAAAAGGGUUUAUACCCACCAAACAGGGAAACGGAUAGGGAUAGGGGGGAACCUCCAUUGUGCAAGCAGAAGCCCUUGCACAAACAGAAUGGCUUUGUUGCACACAACUCCAUGUCUUAAAAUGUUAUUUCUCUUUUGCAAACGUUUUAGGAUCAGUUACAGUCACAUGAGAAAGAUCCCUCCACUCAUGAGGAUUAGAAAAUAAUGAAAUAUUGCAUUAUGCUGGUGAGGCGCUUUGAACAAUUUAAGUGCACUAUUUCUAUCUGUUAAGUAAUAGUUACUUACUUACUGGAUUUAGAUGCCACUUUUCUUUCAUGAAGCUCAAGGGUACAAGCUUGGGGGUUCUCAGAUGAUCUCCAUUCCAGGUAACAACCAGACCCUGAGCUGCUUCAAUUCAGGAAGGGGCAGUGCUGGACACACCAUUACAUUUUGCUGUGUGAAGUGCAGCCCAAAUGGCAACACCCUCUUUGAUAGGACCCAGCCUGAAGUGCUGCUGCGCAGACAACCAUUCCUAUCUCCACCCAUUCCACCCUCGUGGCACUGCCUGCAGUAGGGUUACCUUACCCUGUUGCAUGGCAAAGCUGGUACUGGUAAUAUGACUGCAUCAUGUGCCACUUGGCUGAAGAGGAACACCAGAAGCAUGUGCAAAACCUACAGCACAAAGAGUUGAUGGGUGGGUGAGAUUAGUUUAUGCAAAUUCAUCUUAAAUCUGCAGGUUCAGAGAUGGUGGAGGAGACAUCUCACAUUGGUCUGAAACUGUGACUGUGCCGAUUGUCACCAGUGAAAGUUUUCCUAUACUAGUCUGAAAACUCAGUCGUCUUUGCUUUACCUGCCUCCACUUCAGGCAGCUGAAAACCAAAAUAAUCAUUGCAGACUGAGAGAAACAGCAGAUUUAUGGAAAACUCUUAAGUCUUUCUAGCCCUGAAGAAGAUGGGUACGUUUCUGAUUGGAAUAUGCAUGGUGUGACAGGAGCAAAGGCAAACUUCUAGCCUCACACACUUUCCACACAGCUGCUUCUCAGCAGCAUUAUUAUCCAACCCCUUAACACUCUCCAGUGUGAAAGGAUGGGGGAAACUGUCAAUCAACAAAAGAGAUUCUCCUGGGGGAGCAAAUAAGGGGCAAUUUUCUUGCCUCUGCUGUUUUAAUUGAAUGCCAGGGCCAGAAUCCUCACUGUGCAUUGUUUAGGGAUUGCUGAUGGGUUGAGUGGAAAGACUUGGAGCAAAGUGCAGAGUUCAAAAAACUGAAAGCAUGAAGAAAAGUGAAUCUUCCCAGAAAAGUCUAUUAUUUAAGGAGGUGUGCUGGGGGGGAGUGCCAAUUCACACCUGCAGCUCGAGUAGUCACUUAUGCCCUUCCAAAAAAAGGGGGGAAACCCACAUCAC